UGCAAGUCGAACGGAGCACCCUUGAUUGAGGUUUCGGCCAAAUGAUAGGAACGCUUAGUGGCGGACUGGUGAGUAACGCGUGAGGAACCUGCCUUUCAGAGGGGGACAACAGUUGGAAACGACUGCUAAUACCGCAUGACGCAUUUUGAUCGCAUGGUCGAAAUGCCAAAGAUUUAUCGCUGAAAGAUGGCCUCGCGUCUGAUUAGCUAGUUGGUGAGGUAACGGCCCACCAAGGCGACGAUCAGUAGCCGGACUGAGAGGUUGACCGGCCACAUUGGGACUGAGAUACGGCCCAGACUCCUACGGGAGGCAGCAGUGGGGAAUAUUGGGCAAUGGGCGCAAGCCUGACCCAGCAACGCCGCGUGAAGGAAGAAGGCUUUCGGGUUGUAAACUUCUUUUAAGUGGGAAGAGCAGAAGACGGUACCACUUGAAUAAGCCACGGCUAACUACGUGCCAGCAGCCGCGGUAAUACGUAGGUGGCAAGCGUUGUCCGGAUUUACUGGGUGUAAAGGGCGUGCAGCCGGGCAUGCAAGUCAGAUGUGAAAUCUCAGGGCUUAACCCUGAAACUGCAUUUGAAACUGUAUGUCUUGAGUGCCGGAGAGGUAAUCGGAAUUCCUUGUGUAGCGGUGAAAUGCGUAGAUAUAAGGAAGAACACCGGUGGCGAAGGCGGAUUACUGGACGGUAACUGACGGUGAGGCGCGAAAGCGUGGGGAGCGAACAGGAUUAGAUACCCUGGUAGUCCACGCUGUAAACGAUGGAUACUAGGUGUGCGGGGACUGACCCCCUGCGUGCCGCAGUUAACACAAUAAGUAUCCCACCUGGGG
rnacentral:rRNA from 1 species